rnacentral:rRNA from 5 species
UGCGGAGGGAUCAUUACACAAAU